GAGAUCAAGCGUCAAAAUUACAUUGUUGGCAUACGCUGCCUUUUUUUAUGGCUCAAAUUCCUGUUGCCUUUUUUUUUUGCCAGCAGCUCCUGUUGCUCGAAAUCCUUGCCAUUGUUUGUUUUCCUGCGUUUUGCCCUGCCUUUCAGGAUACUUUAGCUAUGAGCAGAGCUAAAAUCAAUCCUGUAAAGACAAAUCCUUUACAGGAAAGGGUAUUUAAAUAUCAGCCGAACGAAGGUUUCCACCUCUCUUGUUUUUUCUCACUCUCCCUGUGUGUGUAUUUGUGUUUUUAAGGGGUUAAGAGGGACACAGGAGCAGCGUUGAUUGUUGCAAUUUCUCGUUAAAUUGAAUUCGCGCUUUCAAUGCCAUGCGAGCGAGAGUCCUGGGAUUCGAAGUGCGAGGCACACGGAAAAUGGCGGAAAAUUGGUCAACGGCGGCAACGGCUGCCCUGCAAGCUGCACUGCUUAUUUAUGACAAGUGGCCAGUGGCACAGGAAGCGCCUGGGUAGGUGGACGAAGGCACUUCCGGCCGGACAACGAAAUGAAUGCAAGGACAACGCAUUAUGGGAUUGCCUUUCGGCCCAAAAAUUACACCGAAAACACUGGAGGCUCAACACGCUUGUUACCCAGAGGGGCUAACCCCCCUCCCGCCCAUUGUUUACCCAUUGGCAACCUUUAGUCAUCCCUUUAUCCCCCCACCCCUUCCCAAACAGCUUUUAUCCUCAAUUAAAAACGACAAAAAAAUACCAUUUACGGAAAGCAAUGACUGCAAAUGGUUUAAAAUGGUCCCAGGACAAGGGCUGCGAUUGCACUGGCAGAAAAUACGAGUUGUCAGAGAUUGGAAUCCGGCCUAAAAUCAUGGGAUAUUUGGCGGAAAAGAAGGCACCAGCACAGGAUACGGACAGCUCAAUCUGGAGUCCUGCAAUGAUUCAUCAUCGUGGCGGCAAUGGUUUAAUUGAGGCCCAACAACUCCUCACAGCCACAAAAAUAUAUAUAUUAUAAUGGAAGCAACGCUAUUUAAAUGCAAUUUCCAUCUAUUUGCAUUAAUUGAGUUGCAGGACGAGUGCGAGGCGAGUCCUUGUCGGGUAAUGAGCUAAACUAAGCCCCAGGGAUACGCCCGGGUAUAUGCUUUAGCCAACUGCCACUAAAGCCCAAUCUUAGCCAUUCCAAUUACUUAACUGAAAUGUUUGAGCAAGUGGCUGAAACCAAUGGCUGAGAGUGGCAAAUAAAUAAGGUGCAAACACGUGUUCGAGGACGGGGUUUUCCAAGCAGGAAAAGGAGCCGGGAGGGAGCAGCAGCAGCAGCAGGUAACUGAAUGCCCGACGUUAUCCUUAUCAUUGUUAUACUUAAGUUAACAGCAGCUUAAGUAAGCAAACGCACACAUACCCGGGCUUACGGCAGUAAUCAAGCACACGCACUCGCACUCGCAAUCUCGCCCCUCAAGUCUUGGCUUUUAUGGCUGGCCUGCACAGUGGGCCAAAUGCUGUGAAUGGGGAGUAUAUAACGGCCUUCGUGACA